AGCACCCACGCCCUCAUUCGUGACCGGCCAGUCCCACCGCCGACGCCCUCAUUCGUGACACCGAAAUCCCUUCCUCUUCCUCGUUCGUGACGCCCCAAAUCCCCACCACCGACUCCCUCGUUUGUUCUCCCGCAAUCUCACCGCCGCCAGCAACCUCGCCGUUCCCUCAUCUGUCGCCACCUCGCCACACCGCGUCGCUGUGCGGCCGUGCCUUUGCCGGGCCGCCUCGCCGUGCCGUCGUGCAGACCGACGCCUCCAUCUCCCAGCAAUCCCAAAGUACCACUUGUUCUCCUUCUUCCUCCUCCUCCUCCGAUUGACGCAAGACCCCAUGUCCCCAAUUGCCAGAAAAAUGGCAUCCAUUUCUUUUAGGAAGAGAUCGUAGAGAAACCGAUUCUGAUCUGGUUGCAGUGGGCUUGGCACGAGCAACAUGGCCCUGGGCCUGCCAUGUUCAGGACCUGGACACCUGGUGGAGGGUAAUCUCAAACAGGGACAGAGAGAUCUUUUGAAGUGCAUGGGUCAAUCUCAAAGAAAAGUUGAGAGAAAGUUGGACGGUAAUGAGAAAUAUUCAUUUCUAUUUACAAAAUAGAUGUAACGGUUCUUCCAUUGUGAUUUUCUUUUGAAUCUUUACUGACAUGUACAUAGUUAAAUUAUUUAUAUAUCAUAAAUAAUAGUAUCCUUCAUUUUAUAUGAAAGCUACAUUAUACUAA